rnacentral:rRNA from 1 species
GACGAACGCUGGCGGCGUGCUUAACACAUGCAAGUCGAACGGAAAGGCCCUGCUUUUGUUGGGUGCUCGAGUGGCGAACGGGUGAGUAACACGUGAGUAACCUGCCCUUGACUGUGGGAUAACUUCAGGAAACUGGGGCUAAUACCGGAUAGGAGCUCCUGCUGCAUGGUGGGGGUUGGAAAGUUUCGGCGGUUGGGGAUGGACUCGCGGCUUAUCAGCUUGUUGGUGGGGUAGUGGCUUACCAAGGCUUUGACGGGUAGCCGGCCUGAGAGGGUGACCGGCCACAUUGGGACUGAGAUACGGACCAGACUCCUACGGGAGGCAGCAGUGGGGAAUAUUGCACAAUGGGCGGAAGCCUGAUGCAGCAACGCCGCGUGCGGGAUGACGGCCUUCGGGUUGUAAACCGCUUUCGCCUGUGACGAAGCGUGAGUGACGGUAAUGGGUAAAGAAGCACCGGCUAACUACGUG